rnacentral:rRNA from 1 species
GACGAACGCUGGCGGCGCGCUUAACACAUGCAAGUCGAGCGAUGAAACUUUAACAUAACCCUUCGGGGCGUAGCUAAAGUGGAUUAGCGGCGGCCGGGUGAGUAACACGUGAGUAACCUGCCUUAUACAUUGGGAUAGCCUCGGGAAACCGUGAUUUAUACCAAAUAAAAUCAUAAUGACACAUGUCAUAACGACCAAAACUCCGAUGGUCUAGGAUGGACUCUCGUCCCAUUAGCUAGUUGGUAGAGUAAAAGCCUACCAAGGCGACGAUGGCUAGCCGGGCUGAGAGAGUGAGCGGACACAUUGGAGCGGAGAAGCGGUACGAACUCCUACGGGAGGCGGCAGUGGGGAAUAGUGCAACAUGGAGGGAACUCUGAAGGAGCGAGGACGCGUGAACGAAGAAGGCUGUGGAGACGUAAAGUGCUUUUAUAUGGGAAGAUAAUGACGGUACCAUAAGAAAAAGCCCCGGCUAACUACGUG